AUUGAACGCUGGCGGCAGGCCUAACACAUGCAAGUCGAACGAGUGGCGGACGGGUGAGUAAUGUCUGGGAAACUGCCUGCUGGAGGGGGAUAACUACUGGAAACGGUAGCUAAUACCGCAUACCAUCAGAUGUGCCCAGAUGGGAUUGGCUUGUUGGUUGGGUAACGGGCCACCAAGGCGACGAUCCCUAGCUGGUCUGAGAGGAUGACGGGCCACACUGGAACUGGGACACGGUACAGACUCCUCAGGGAGGCAGCAGUGGGGAGUAGUGGACAAUGGGCGCAAGCCUGAUGCAGCCAUGCCGGGUGUAUGAAGAAGGCCUUCGGGUUGUAAAGUACUUUCAGCGGGGAGUCGUUACCCGCAGAAGAAGCACCGGCUAACUCCGUGCCAGCAGCCGCGGUAAUUC
rnacentral:rRNA from 1 species